CGUUGGCCGAGUGGUUAGGCACCGGUCUGCAAAACCGUUUACGGCGGUUCGAUUCCGCC
rnacentral:tRNA from 1 species